GAUGAACGCUGGCGGCGUGCCUAAUACAUGAAAGUCGAGCGAACGGACGAGAAGCUUGCUUCACUGAUGUUAGCGGCGGACGGGUGAGUAACACGUGGAUAACCUACCUAUAAGACUGGGAUAACUUCGGGAAACCGGAGCUAAUACCGGAUAAUAUUUUGAACCGCAUGGUUCAAAAGUGAAAGACGGUCUUGCUGUCACUUAUAGAUGGAUCCGCGCUGCAUUAGCUAGUUGGUAAGGUAACGGCUUACCAAGGCAACGAUGCAUAGCCGACCUGAGAGGGUGAUCGGCCACACUGGAACUGAGACACGGUCCAGACUCCUACGGGAGGCAGCAGUAGGGAAUCUUCCGCAAUGGGCGAAAGCCUGACGGAGCAACGCCGCGUGAGUGAUGAAGGUCUUCGGAUCGUAAAACUCUGUUAUUAGGGAAGAACAUAUGUGUAAGUAACUGUGCACAUCUUGACGGUACCUAAUCAGAAAGCCACGGCUAACUACGUG
rnacentral:rRNA from 1 species